UUGACCGCCCAAGCCAGACAAAAGGAAAGCACACGUGUCGUCUGCUUACCCCCUGGUAUCACUUUCCUCCUUUCUGGCUUGGGCGGCAAACAGUGGCUGCAAAAGCGCUGGGUGCUGGGUGUGAGGGUGGCUGGGAAACAGUGUAUGGUGUCUUUGGAAGCGGACCACGGUUAGUGUGUGGAGUCUCCAAUAUUUCCUGGUCACCCCUUAUGGAAAUGCCGCACACCCUACAUGGAAGCCAACUGACUCUCAUAACAAGGACACCGGGACACACCGGAAACUUUUGAUGCACCGGGGUUCCGCUCGAAUGAUGUGCCUGACGGUCAGGAAUGCAAUAGUUGCAGGUUGCUUGUACUGGACGAUCCAUUUUGAGCUUUUGGAGUAGGGGCUUUGGAAGGCGCAUCUGAACAAAGUCACAGCGUGAGUGUGGAACAAGGAGAUGAACCACCGCGAUGUUAUGGUGGGCUCUGAGAAUCCAUUUGGUUCUCCUGCUACAGUGAUGACAGGACUGAAGCGUCACAAGGGCGAUGCGAUCAGCAAUCCCAAAAAGGCUAGCAAAAAUGUGGCACCGGUUGAUGUACUUCACGGGAAAGACAAUGUAGUUGCUCAAGCGUUUAUAGUUGAUACCACGUCAAGAAGUCGUGCACAAAAUAUUUCCCAUCAGCGGGGAAAAGGGCCAACGAGGAAGAAAGCGGUUUUGCACAUUCCCUUUCUUAGGCCAAAGAAAUAACUGGACACGUAGCGUGCUCAACUGGAGUGUAACUACUAGACCACCUAGCAGUCCUAACUGUAAACAGCUAAAAAGAUGGGUCAAUAAAAACGCUAUCUCUC